GUGACGGCGAUGGGGUGACCUCCCGAAGCAAUUUGAACUCGUGGGGCGCGCGGAUGCGGCGGGAGAAUGGCGAGUUUUAGAACAUUCAAAUCCCAGUUCGGGUGUUGAAAGCAAGGAAUUUCUCUAGCAUGCAGCUCGAAUGUGGACCUGUUUUUCAUUAUUGUACGAGGGACCUGUACAUAUCGAGGACGAUAGACGAAUGCUAACGUUCCAAAUCCUUCCCAGGUAUAAUCUUUACGCCCGACACACGCAAAAUCGGUGGAGUUCGUUGAUCUUGUACAUUAGAUACGGCAGGUGCACUCGAGCAUCCAGGUCAUCAGAG
rnacentral:lncRNA from 1 species